rnacentral:rRNA from 1 species
GAUGAACGCUGGCGGCGUGCCUAAUACAUGCAAGUCGAGCGAACGGACGAGAAGCUUGCUUUUCUGAUGUUAGCGGCGGACGGGUGAGUAACACGUGGAUAACCUACCUAUAAGACUGGGAUAACUUCGGGAAACCGGAGCUAAUACCGGAUAAUAUUUUGAACCGCAUGGUUCAAAAGUGAAAGACGGUCUUGCUGUCACUUAUAGAUGCAUCCGCGCUGCAUUAGCUAGUUGGUAAGGUAACGGCUUACCAAGGCAACGAUGCAUAGCCGACCUGAGAGGGUGAUCGGCCACACUGGAACUGAGACACGGUCCUGGCUCCUACGGGAGGCAGCAGUAGGGAAUCUUCCGCAAUGGGCGAAAGCCUGACGGAGCAACGCCGCGUGAGUGAUGAAGGUCUUCGGAUCGUAAAACUCUGUUAUUAGGGAAGAACAUAUGUGUAAGUAACUGUGCACAUCGUGACGGUACCUAAUCAGAAAGCCACGGCUAACUACGUG